UGAACGGCAUUUAGUGCAUUAGCCGUAAUUCUCAUGUGGCAGGAUGGAGUUCUCCUCCAGGCCACUGUGAGGCGCUGGGCUAUUGAGUUCACGGCACACAGGCGAGUUAGUGGGGCAGAGUAUUUAAGCCCAGGUGUAGCGCAUUAUGCUUGCACGCUUCUCCCUCUGCCUACCCGGCGGCAUGACUGUGCUCUGGUGGCGUGGCGGACUUGGCCAUGCAGUAGCUCGGUAAUCGCCUGUGAGCAGGAGAUGCUGGUGUGCAGGGCGCUCGGGUGCGGUAUUGCCAGUGCAUGAGGGAGAGAGCUGUUGGGUGGCCCUCCGUCCCUUCCGGGAUUUACUGACGAUGCAUUGGUGGGUGCUGGAUAUGACAGAUCCUCUGCUGGCAUUAUGAAGCCUGGCGGCCUGCUGUUCUGGCUCUAUAGUGACCCUGUUCUAGCUCCAGGAUGACCCUGUGUGGCUUUACAACAACCCUGGUGUUACCGUACUAAGAGUGUUUGGUUUUAAAAGACUUUGCACAAGCAGCUCAGUGCUCGUGCAUCUGGACCUCUCGGAUUCCCUCAUUCACUGCACAGAGUCUUGUUUUAUAUUGUUUUAUUGUGGCAUUCUGAAUCGUUUUAUUGUGGGUUUUAACAUUUUAUUUGUAUGGUUUUAUUGUAUUCUGUGCCCAAUAAACUUUGUCUAUAAACUGAA